CUCCCACUCCGCCAGCCUCCGGGAGAGGAGCCGCACCCGGCCGGCCCGGCCCCAGCCCCAUGGACCUCCGAGCAGGGGAGGAGCCCCAGCCCCGCGACGAGGAGGAAGCGGAGCUGGAGCUGCUGAGGCAGUUUGACCUGGCCUGGCAGUACGGGCCCUGCACCGGGAUCACACGGCUGCAGCGCUGGUGUCGGGCCAAGCAGAUGGGCUUGGAGCCUCCCCCAGAGGUGUGGCAGGUGCUGAAGACCCACCCCGGAGACCCCCGCUUCCAGUGCAGUCUCUGGCAUCUCUAUCCCCUAUGAGGCACCACGUAAGACCUCCUGCCCUUAGCUCUCUUGCUCACCACCCAAGAACCUCAGGACAGAAGCGAGAGCCCAUUGCUCCUGCUCAGCUCAGCCCGGCUGCGGAGGAACCCUUGGCAGGCAGAACCUGGAGGUGUCAGAGGCUCAACUCCUCCAUCUAACCAGCAGGCUCCCAGAGUCCCCGGAAGAGCCUGCGCAGCUGAAGCAGAGUGCUUCUAGAUGGAGAGUGGUCACUGGGGAAAAGGACCUGGCCAUCACCUUCCAAUACCUGCUGCCUGUCUCCCUGACCCAUGAUCUGGCAAGUUAGGCACAGUCAGACAUGGACAGUUGAUCCAUGAGGAAAAGAUGCUCUCCCACCUAAGGCCAGGAAUCUGAGAGCAGGACUGGCUGAGCUCCCAGGGCAAGGGGUUCACUAAUGCUUAU
rnacentral:lncRNA from 1 species